rnacentral:rRNA from 1 species
AGAUGAGAGCGGAAUUCUCGGUGUAGCGGUGAAAUGCGUAGAUAUCGAGAGGAACGCCGACGGCGAAAGCAGCUCUCAAGACGAAAUCUGACCCUGAGACACGAAGGCCAGGGGAGCAAACGGGAUUAGAUACCCCGGUAGUCCUGGCAGUAAACGGUGCUCAUUAGAUGUAGGCGGAUUCGACCCCGCCUGUGUCGAACCUAACGGAUUAAAUGAGCCGCCUGGGAAGUACGGUCGCAAGAUUAAAACUCAAAGAAAUUGACGGGGGCCCGCACAAGCGGUGGAGUAUGUGGCUUAAUUCGAUGCAACGCGAAGAACCUUACCUGGCCUUGACAUGCUGAGUUCAGGCGUGGAAACACGCUGGCCCGCAAGGGCGAUCUGCACAGGUGCUGCAUGGCUGUCGUCAGCUCGUGUCGUGAGAUGUUGGGUUAAGUCCCGCAACGAGCGCAACCCUCGUGACUAGUUAAUCCCGGGCAACCGGAUUCUGGUCAGACUGCCCUGUGAAACGGGGAGGAAGGUGGGGACGACGUCAAGUCCGUAUGGCCCUUACGGCCAGGGCUGCACACGUACUACAAUGCCCACUACAGAGGGACGCAAGACCGCAAGGUGGAGCCAAUCCCUAAAAGGUGAGCCCAGUUCGGAUUGGAGGCUGCAACUCGCCUCCAUGAAGCCGGAAUCGCUAGUAAUGGCGCAUCAGCUACGGCGCCGUGAAUACGUUCCCGGGCCUUGUACACACCGCCCGUCACAUCAUGAAAGCCGGUCUUACCCGAAGUCACCUUUGGUGCCCAAGGUAAGGCUGGUGAUUGGGAUGAAGUCGUAACAAGGUAGCCGUAGGGGAACCUGCGGCUG